rnacentral:rRNA from 1 species
UAGAGUUUGAUCCUGGCUCAGGAUGAACGCUGGCGGCGUGCCUAAUACAUGCAAGUCGAACGCGCAGCGAGAGGUGCUUGCACCUUUCAAGCGAGUGGCGAACGGGUGAGUAACACGUGGAUAACCUGCCUCAAGGCUGGGGAUAACAUUUGGAAACAGAUGCUAAUACCGAAUAAAACUUAGUAUCGCAUGAUAUAAAGUUAAAAGGCGCUACGGCGUCACCUAGAGAUGGAUCCCGCGGUGCAUUAGUUAGUUGGUGGGGUAAAGGCUUACCAAGACAAUGAUGCAUAGCCGAGUUGAGAGACUGAUCGGCCACCAUUGGA